UACAGAGGUCUCAAGCGUUGUUCGGAUUCAUUGGGCGUAAAGCGUGUGUAGGCGGACUUGUAAGUACCUUGUGAAAUCCCAUGGCUCAACCAUGGAACUGCUUGGUAUACUGCUUGUCUUGAGCCACUUAGGGGCAGUCGGAACAGACGGUGGAGCGGUGAAAUGCGUAGAUAUCUACAGGAAUGCCGAUGGUGAAGACGCGCAACUGGGCUUGUCCUGACGCUGAGGCACGAAAGCGUGGGGAGCAAACAGG
rnacentral:rRNA from 1 species